UGCCGCGUGCAGGAAGACGGCCCUACGGGUUGUAAACUGCUUUUCCGGGGGACGAAUAGGGCCGACGUGUCGGCCGAUGCCGGUACCCCGGGAAUAAGGAUCGGCUAACUCCGUGCCAGCAGCCGCGGUAAUACGGAGGAUCCGAGCGUUAUCCGGAUUUACUGGGUUUAAAGGGUGCGUAGGCGGGCUCCUAAGUCGGCGGUGAAAGUCUGCGGCUCAACCGUAGGAUUGCCGUUGAUACUGGGGGCCUUGGAUACGGUCGAGGCGGGUGGAAUGCGCGGUGUAGCGGUGAAAUGCUUAGAUAUCGCGCAGAACGCCGAUUGCGAAGGCAGCUCGCCAGGCCGUGAUUGACGCUGAGGCACGACAGCGUGGGGAUCGAACAGGAUUAGAUACCCUGGUAGUCCACGCCGUAAACGAUGAUGGCUGGGUGUUGGCGGUACACGGUCAGCGCCUGAGCGAAAGCAUUAAGCCAUCCACCUGGGGAGUACGGCAGCAAGGUUGAAACUCAAAGGAAUUGACGGGGGCCCGCACAAGCGGAGGAACAUGUGGUUUAAUUCGAUGAUACGCGAGGAACCUUACCCGGGCUAGAACGCCGAACGAACGGCCCCGAAAGGGGUCGGCCAGCGAUGGCGGUCGGCGAGGUGCUGCAUGGUUGUCGUCAGCUCGUGCCGUGAGGUGUCGGGUUAAGUCCCAUAACGAGCGCAACCCCUACCGCCAGUUGCCAGCGGGCAAUGCCGGGGACUCUGGCGGAACUGCCGGCGUAAGCCGCGAGGAAGGCGGGGAUGACGUCAAAUCAGCACGGCCCUUACGUCCGGGGCUACACACGUGUUACAAUGGCCGGUACAGAGGGCAGCCACCCCGCGAGGGGGCGCUAAUCUCGAAAGCCGGUCCCAGUUCGGAUCGGGGUCUGCAACCCGACCCCGUGAAGUUGGAUUCGCUAGUAAUC
rnacentral:rRNA from 1 species